GAGUUUNNNUCCUGGCUCAGAUUGAACGCUGGCGGCAGGCCUAACACAUGCAAGUCGAGCGGCAGCACGGGUACUUGUACCUGGUGGCGAGCGGCGGACGGGUGAGUAAUGCCUAGGAAUCUGCCUGGUAGUGGGGGAUAACGCUCGGAAACGGACGCUAAUACCGCAUACGUCCUACGGGAGAAAGCAGGGGACCUUCGGGCCUUGCGCUAUCAGAUGAGCCUAGGUCGGAUUAGCUAGUUGGUGAGGUAAUGGCUCACCAAGGCGACGAUCCGUAACUGGUCUGAGAGGAUGAUCAGUCACACUGGAACUGAGACACGGUCCAGACUCCUACGGGAGGCAGCAGUGGGGAAUAUUGGACAAUGGGCGAAAGCCUGAUCCAGCCAUGCCGCGUGUGUGAAGAAGGUCUUCGGAUUGUAAAGCACUUUAAGUUGGGAGGAAGGGCAGUUACCUAAUACGUAAUUGUUUUGACGUUACCGACAGAAUAAGCACCGGCUAACUCUGUGCCAGCAGCCGCGGUAAUACAGAGGGUGCGAGCGUUAAUCGGAAUUACUGGGCGUAAAGCGCGCGUAGGUGGUUCGUUAAGUUGGAUGUGAAAUCCCCGGGCUCAACCUGGGAACUGCAUUCAAAACUGUCGAGCUAGAGUAUGGUAGAGGGUGGUGGAAUUUCCUGUGUAGCGGUGAAAUGCGUAGAUAUAGGAAGGAACACCAGUGGCGAAGGCGACCACCUGGACNGAUAC
rnacentral:rRNA from 1 species